GUGCCAGCCGCCGCGGUAAUACGGAGGAUGCGAGCGUUAUCCGGACUUAUUGGGUUUAAAGGGUGCGUAGGCGGAGUAAUAAGUCAGUGGUGAAAACCUGCAGCUUAACUGUGGAACUGCCAUUGAUACUGUUAUUCUUGAGUAUGGUCAAGGUAGGCGGAAUGUGUAAUGUAGCGGUGAAAUGCUUAGAUAUUACACAGAACACCGAUUGCGAAGGCAGCUUACUGGGCCAUUACUGACGCUGAGGCACGAAAGCGUGGGGAGCGAACAGGAUUAGAUACCCUGGUAGUCCACGCCGUAAACGAUGAUCACUCGCUGUUGGCGAUAAACAGUCAGCGGCUAAGCAAAAGCAUUAAGUGAUCCACCUGGGGAGUACGGCCGCAAGGCUGAAACUCAAAUGAAUUGACAGGG
rnacentral:rRNA from 1 species